GACACCGACGCAAAGCUUCCCGCCUUUCCCCUCGAGUCCAGCUCCAUUUUACCCCACCCCCCGUCCUCAAUCCUGCCCCCAAUCCUAGCUGUUGACGGCGAAGAUGCUGCGGGCACAGAAGGAUGCGGCAGCAGCGACUUGUGAGCUGCUCAAGGCAGAUGGCACCCGGAUGCAGAAAGCGGCUCAAGCAUCCGCGCGGAAGGGGACCUCGUCGGCAUCGGCAUGGAAGGAGCCAGCGGCGCAGAUUCGGAAGGCCCAUGCGGGAGCUACUGCGGCAGUGGAGCAGAGGGCUCCGUCGUGGAAGGAAGCGGCGGCGCGGGUCCAGGGGCCAUUUGUCGCGAAGCAAAGGAGUUCGCCGGCGGAGCAAAACGGCAUGGGUUGAUUUGGCGGAGCAAGCUCACCAGCCUCCUUCACUGACGGAACCUGCUUCUUCAACGGUGGCAGCAUCUUGUUCGGCGGCGCUUCACAAAACCCCAUGGCUCAAGCAUGGAUGCACUCUCAAGUUUCAGAUCCUGUAUCAUGGAAGUCAAAUCUGCCUGAAGAAGUUGAUGCCCUGGAAGUGAAAUGUGCCCAGGUUGGAGGCUAAAUAUUUCAAGUGACUGAACUAUGUCAUUUAGGUUGUCUGAACUAUGUGUCAUUUAUCUAUGUCUGAACUGAUGCACUAUGCUGGAUAUGUGUCAAAUAGUGACUUUGUUAUUAUAUCAUGCCAUGUAUUCCUAAGAACCUUUUUCAUAUGAAUAUAUAUAUGGCUAUAAAGAUCAAGUAUGCACUAGAUUAC